rnacentral:rRNA from 1 species
GACGAACGCUGGCGGCGUGCUUAACACAUGCAAGUCGAACGGAAAGGCCCUGCUUUUGUGGGGUGCUCGAGUGGCGAACGGGUGAGUAACACGUGAGUAACCUGCCCUUGACUUUGGGAUAACUUCAGGAAACUGGGGCUAAUACCGGAUAGGAGCUCCUGCUGCAUGGUGGGGGUUGGAAAGUUUCGGCGGUUGGGGCUGGACUCGCGGCUGAUCAGCUUGUUGGUGGGGUAGUGGCUUACCAAGGCUUGGACGGGUAGCCGGCCUGAGAGGGUGACCGGCCACAUUGGGACUAAGAUACGGACCAGACUCCUACGGGAGGCAGCAGUGGGGAAUAUUGCACAAUGGGCGGAAGCCUGAUGCAGCAACGCCGCGUGCGGGAUGACGGCCUUCGGGUUGUAAACCGCUUUCGCCUGUGACGAAGCGUGAGUGACGGUAAUGGGUAAAGAAGCACCGGCUAACUACGUG